rnacentral:rRNA from 1 species
AAAUUGAAGAGUUUGAUCAUGGCUCAGAUUGAACGCUGGCGGCAGGCCUAACACAUGCAAGUCGAACGGUAACAGGAAGCAGCUUGCUGCUUUGCUGACGAGUGGCGGACGGGUGAGUAAUGUCUGGGAAACUGCCUGAUGGAGGGGGAUAACUACUGGAAACGGUGGCUAAUACCGCAUAACGUCGCAAGACCAAAGAGGGGGACCUUCGGGCCUCUUGCCAUCAGAUGUGCCCAGAUGGGAUUAGCUUGUUGGUGAGGUAACGGCUCACCAAGGCGACGAUCCCUAGCUGGUCUGAGAGGAUGACCAGCCACACUGGAACUGAGACACGGUCCAGACUCCUACGGGAGGCAGCAGUGGGGAAUAUUGCACAAUGGGCGCAAGCCUGAUGCAGCCAUGCCGCGUGUAUGAAGAAGGCCUUCGGGUUGUAAAGUACUUUCAGCGGGGAGGAAGGUGUUGUGGUUAAUAACCGCAGCAAUUGACGUUACCCGCAGAAGAAGCACCGGCUAACUCCGUGCCAGCAGCCGCGGUAAUACGGAGGGUGCAAGCGUUAAUCGGAAUUACUGGGCGUAAAGCGCACGCAGGCGGUCUGUCAAGUCGGAUGUGAAAUCCCCGGGCUCAACCUGGGAACUGCAUUCGAAACUGGCAGGCUUGAGUCUUGUAGAGGGGGGUAGAAUUCCAGGUGUAGCGGUGAAAUGCGUAGAGAUCUGGAGGAAUACCGGUGGCGAAGGCGGCCCCCUGGACAAAGACUGACGCUCAGGUGCGAAAGCGUGGGGAGCAAACAGGAUUAGAUACCCUGGUAGUCCACGCCGUAAACGAUGUCUACUUGGAGGUUGUGCCCUUGAGGCGUGGCUUCCGGAGCUAACGCGUUAAGUAGACCGCCUGGGGAGUACGGCCGCAAGGUUAAAACUCAAAUGAAUUGACGGGGGCCCGCACAAGCGGUGGAGCAUGUGGUUUAAUUCGAUGCAACGCGAAGAACCUUACCUGGUCUUGACAUCCACGGAAGUUUUCAGAGAUGAGAAUGUGCCUUCGGGAACCGUGAGACAGGUGCUGCAUGGCUGUCGUCAGCUCGUGUUGUGAAAUGUUGGGUUAAGUCCCGCAACGAGCGCAACCCUUAUCCUUUGUUGCCAGCGGUCCGGCCGGGAACUCAAAGGAGACUGCCAGUGAUAAACUGGAGGAAGGUGGGGAUGACGUCAAGUCAUCAUGGCCCUUACGACCAGGGCUACACACGUGCUACAAUGGCGCAUACAAAGAGAAGCGACCUCGCGAGAGCAAGCGGAUCUCAUAAAGUGCGUCGUAGUCCGGAUUGGAGUCUGCAACUCGACUCCAUGAAGUCGGAAUCGCUAGUAAUCGUGGAUCAGAAUGCCACGGUGAAUACGUUCCCGGGCCUUGUACACACCGCCCGUCACACCAUGGGAGUGGGUUGCAAAAGAAGUAGGUAGCUUAACCUUCGGGAGGGCGCUUACCACUUUGUGAUUCAUGACUGGGGUGAAGUCGUAACAAGGUAACCGUAGGGGAACCUGCGGUUGGAUCACCUCCUUACCUGAAAGAA